rnacentral:rRNA from 1 species
UACGUAGGGGGCAAGCGUUGUCCGGAUUUAUUGGGCGUAAAGAGCGUGUAGGCGGCCAGACAGGUCCGUUGUGAAAACUCGAGGCUCAACCUCGAGACGCCGAUGGAAACCGUUUGGCUAGAGUCCGGAAGAGGAGAGUGGAAUUCCUGGUGUAGCGGUGAAAUGCGCAGAUAUCAGGAAGAACACCCGUGGCUAAGGCGGCUCUCUAGUACGGUACUGACGCUGAGGAGCGAAAGCGUGGGGAGCGAACAGG